AUGAAGCAAAGCGGCAGUGGAGUAAUGGUUGGCCUUGACAAGGAAGAUGGAUGGAGCAAACGAUUGAAUGAGGAAAGAAGAAUGGAAUGUGUUCGUCUUCUUCUUCAUCGUGUAAUCGAGAGUACAACCUUCUCGUUGAGUUUGAAAAUGAAUUUAGGGUUUGAGUGUUGA